GAGUAACCUGCCCUCCACUUCGGGAUAACCUCGGGAAAUCGUGGCUAAUACCGGAUAUGAGCACUCAUCGCAUGGUGGGUGUUGGAAAGAUUUAUCGGUGGGGGAUGGACUCGCGGCCUAUCAGUUUGUUGGUGAGGUGAUGGCUCACCAAGACGAUGACGGGUAGCCGGCCUGAGAGGGCGACCGGCCACACUGGGACUGAGACACGGCCCAGACUCCUACGGGAGGCAGCAGUGGGGAAUAUUGCACAAUGGGCGAAAGCCUGAUGCAGCGACGCCGCGUGGGGGAUGACGGCCUUCGGGUUGUAAACCCCUUUCAGUAGGGAAGAAGCGAGAGUGACGGUACCUGCAGAAGAAGCGCCGGCUAACUACGUGCCAGCAGCCGCGGUAAUACGUAGGGCGCAAGCGUUGUCCGGAAUUAUUGGGCGUAAAGAGCUUGUAGGUGGCUUGUCGCGUCUGCCGUGAAAACCCGAGGCUCAACCUCGGGCGUGCGGUGGGUACGGGCAGGCUAGAGUGUGGUAGGGGAGACUGGAACUCCUGGUGUAGCGGUGAAAUGCGCAGAUAUCAGGAAGAACACCGAUGGCGAAGGCAGGUCUCUGGGCCAUUACUGACACUGAGAAGCGAAAGCAUGGGUAGCGAACAGGAUUAGAUACCCUGGUAGUCCAUGCCGUAAACGUUGGGCACUAGGUGUGGGGGACAUUCCACGUUUUCCGCGCCGUAGCUAACGCAUUAAGUGCCCCGCCUGGGGAGUACGGCCGCAAGGCUAAAACUCAAAGGAAUUGACGGGGGCCCGCACAAGCGGCGGAGCAUGCUGAUUAAUUCGAUGCAACGCGAAGAACCUUACCAAGGCUUGACAUGCACUGGACGGCUGCAGAGAUGUGGCUUUCUUUGGACUGGUGCACAGGUGGUGCAUGGUUGUCGUCAGCUCGUGUCGUGAGAUGUUGGGUUAAGUCCCGCAACGAGCGCAACCCUCGUUCUAUGUUGCCAGCACGUAAUGGUGGGGACUCAUAGGAGACUGCCGGGGUCAACUCGGAGGAAGGUGGGGACGACGUCAAAUCAUCAUGCCCCUUAUGUCUUGGGCUUCAAGCAUGCUACAAUGGUCGGUACAAUGGGUUGCGAAACUGUGAGGUGGAGCGAAUCCCAAAAAGCCGGCCUCAGUUCGGAUUGGGGUCUGCAACUCGACCCCAUGAAGUCGGAGUCGCUAGUAAUCGCAGAUCAGCAACGCUGCGGUGAAUACGUUCCCGGGCCUUGUA
rnacentral:rRNA from 1 species